rnacentral:rRNA from 1 species
GCCCUUAGAGUUUGAUCCUGGCUCAGGAUGAACGCUGGCGGCGCGCCUAACACAUGCAAGUCGAACGGCACCCAUCUUCGGAUGGAAGCGAGUGGCGAACGGCUGAGUAACACGUGGAGAACCUGCCCCCUCCCCCGGGAUAGCCGCCCGAAAGGACGGGUAAUACCGGAUACCCCGGGGUGCCGCAUGGCACCCCGGCUAAAGCCCCGACGGGAGGGGAUGGCUCCGCGGCCCAUCAGGUAGACGGCGGGGUGACGGCCCACCGUGCCGACAACGGGUAGCCGGGUUGAGAGACCGACCGGCCAGAUUGGGACUGAGACACGGCCCAGACUCCUACGGGAGGCAGCAGUGGGGAAUCUUGCGCAAUGGGGGGAACCCUGACGCAGCGACGCCGCGUGCGGGACGGAGGCCUUCGGGUCGUAAACCGCUUUCAGCAGGGAAGAGUCAAGACUGUACCUGCAGAAGAAGCCCCGGCUAACUACGUGCCAGCAGCCGCGGUAAUACGUAGGGGGCGAGCGUUAUCCGGAUUCAUUGGGCGUAAAGCGCGCGUAGGCGGCCCGGCAGGCCGGGGGUCGAAGCGGGGGGCUCAACCCCCCGAAGCCCCCGGAACCUCCGCGGCUUGGGUCCGGUAGGGGAGGGUGGAACACCCGGUGUAGCGGUGGAAUGCGCAGAUAUCGGGUGGAACACCGGUGGCGAAGGCGGCCCUCUGGGCCGAGACCGACGCUGAGGCGCGAAAGCUGGGGGAGCGAACAGGAUUAGAUACCCUGGUAGUCCCAGCCGUAAACGAUGGACGCUAGGUGUGGGGGGACGAUCCCCCCGUGCCGCAGCCAACGCAUUAAGCGUCCCGCCUGGGGAGUACGGCCGCAAGGCUAAAACUCAAAGGAAUUGACGGAAGGGC